rnacentral:rRNA from 1 species
GUCCUUUUGUUUUUUAUUUAAGGUCUGGCCUGCCCAAUGAUUUAUUUAAUGGCUGCGGUAUUUUAACCGUACAAAGGUAGCAUAAUCAUUUGUCUUUUAAUUGAAGGCUUGAAUGAAGGGUUGGACGAGCAAUAUUCUUUCUUUAAAUUAUAUUAUGAAUUUAAUUUUUUGGUUAGAAAGCUAAAAUUUAUUUAUAGGACGAGAAGACCCUAUAGAACUUUAUAUAUAUAUUUAUAUUUAAUGUUUUGAUUUAUUAUUUUAUUUAUUUAUGUUAUAUAUUUUGUUGGGGUGAUGGGAAGAUUUUAUUAACUCUUCAUUUUUAAUUCAUUAAUUUAUGUUUGUUUGAUCUAUUUUUAUAAUUGUAAGAUUAAGUUACCUUAGGGAUAACAGCGUAAUUUCUUUUGAGAGUUCUUAUCGAUAAAGGAGUUUGCGA